AUGCUCGUCUUUAGCUCUUCCUCCGUCCUGUCUCCUUUUCUGUCGCUCUUUUCCUUUCUCCCCUUCCCGGCUGACUUUUGUUCUCUCCUCUCGAAAACGCACGCUCGCAUGCACCGAAGACCUUGGGCAGUUUGGUCUUUCACCUCUCUUUCCUUCUUCUUUGUCUUGCAGCUUCUUUCUCCAAGCAGAGACUCCCCGUUGGUGGUGGUGGUCACUUCCUGUUGUCCAUUGAUGAUGACAGAAGGAAAAAAUAAAAGAAAAGGCAAAACGGUGCGAGUACAUCAGGCUGGCUGGUGGGAGAGGGACGGAAGGGUGCUUUGGCACUUGAACUACUGGAGACUGGAAGAAAGAGAAGGAAACUGCACAGAGGAAGAAUGGAUUUUUGUGGCGAAAGUGCUGUCCCGCAAAUCUUUCCAUGUGUCAAAGCCUGCCUGCUGCACAAGGCUGGUCACUUAACUUCACCUUUUCCCCAUGCACAGAAUGGGGGUAACAUUAGCUUGCCUGGUGGGCACGGCAAGGUAAUUACUGCUGCGUGAACCCAGGCACUUCUGUCAGUAAAGGGAAAGCUAGGCUGCUCCUUGCUCCUUUGCGCUAAGCCUGAGUGCAGACUUCCUAAUUUACCACUGAAGAGCCAGUUCAUGCAAUGAGUUUGCUUCUGAGGCAAAAAAAAUGUUGUAAGACACUCUGCGAUAUAUUGACAUGCAUGUAAGUUAGGAAGUACUGCUGCGUUAUUUUCAUGUACUCAUGAUCCUUAUAAUUUAUUUUAAUGGUCAAAAAUAGGAGAGGGGAGGCAGUACCACAUAUAUGUUUUGCAUUACCUAUUUUGUUAGCUGAGCUGUUUGGACCCUGCGGUUUUCAGAGAAAGAUUUUGUAUUUGACACAUCAGCUAAUAUCAGUCAUUAGGCUCAACUGCAUGUGAUUGGUGCUCUAUAAAUACCUGUGUACAAGUGGUUUGCAAUUGUUGCCGUAUAAAUACUUACCAGAGAUAGCUAUACAGUGACCAAGGGAAAAAAUGAAUCAGAUUAUCCUGCAAGAAAUGCGUGGAAGUAGGUAGCGAGAGAAGAACUCGGUAUGAGGUUCCUUUGAAGGUGCAAUGCCAUGGGUUUCAGGGAGAGGUGGCCUGGUCUCCAGGACCGGGGGUCCUAGAGGUGCCUCUACUGGGGUCAAAGGCUCCUGCGGUUUUGCCUGGCUUCAGCUAAUGCAGCAUCAGUGGCCUUGCACACUGUGGUUUCCCCACCAGCUGCUGCCGCCUAGAGGGGAUCAGACCAGGAAAGAGGGUCUGCUGGAAAGCAGUUAGGCUAGGUUGCCAAAAUAACCACCCAGAGGACAUCUCUCCUGGCUCUUCACUGACAUGUGUUGUCUACCCAUCCUCAGCCUUACCACUGAAUUUCUGUUAUCACUUUUUAACAGUUUGUCCGAUAUCCUUGUAGUGUCUAUCCAAAAUAUCUUCAAAGCCACAUGAAAAGCCUUUAAACACAGACUGGCUGACCUGUGCAGGGGAGUGGAUUAGAAACCAGGUCCAGAUUUUCUUCGGGGUGGGAUUUGCCAGCUUUCAAUGAGUAUGCAAGCUAUAACCACUCACAUGAUGAUAGCCUGUCCUUGCCGCUCUUCACCUGCUUUUUUUCGGAGGGACAGAUAUGUUCCUCACCUUAACGCAGGAACCCAUGGAGUAUGCCUCCAGGUGAAAGAGAAGCAGGAACAGAAAAUAGUGAGAGAAAAGUUUUGGCUUUGUCGAUACAGCUUGGCUCAGAAAAUAUUAAAUCCAGGCCAGGUUAAGCUAGGAGCUCAGACCUGGCCUGGCUGGGUGGUGAAGAAAAUGGGUGGCUGGCUGGGUGAGCUCUGAAAUGCUCCUACACAAACUGGACCUUAGGUACUGGUGCUGUGUUAAUCCAGUCAGGAAGCCUUUCCUGGGUUGGCUACUGAGGCAGCUGUGGACCUUGUCUUGUAUUCAGAUGCCUAAUGUGAGAGCUGAUCCAUAAAAGAGGUGCUGGGGGUUAAGGAAUGCAGAUAUUUAGUGUAUAUGAAGAACAGCAACAUCUUAAACGUCACUAGGGAAAGGAAACAGUAUGCUGAACAAACAGCAAUGACCAUGAUAAGGAAAAACAAACCAAUGCCCCUCUAAUUUGCCACAGCAUUUGCACAGGACCAAAUGUAUUCCUGCUUACAGAAUUCAGUAGUCCUAAUUACUUAGACCUACUGGUUUCAAUGGGAAUUGCAUCCUGAUGUAACACAGAAAUCAAAUUUAGCUGUUAGAUGAGAUUGGUGUAAGUUACAGUCCUUUUGAACAUCUGUUGAAUCACAAGUAGGUGUGAUUAUGUCCUUCACCCCCUAUACUCAUUUCCUUACCUAAUUAUAUCCACCACUUCAUAAUGCCACCAUUGAAUUUACCCAGGUAUUUUUCUGAGUCAGUACUCCUAUAGCUCUCCAAAUGCUAUGAUGUUGAGACAAGAAAGUACUUUUUAAAAUUAAGAGCAAUUUACAAUAUGUUACACUUUCAACAUUCAAUUAAAUAAUAAAGAUAUGAGAAUGAAAUCCUUUUGCA
rnacentral:lncRNA from 1 species